rnacentral:rRNA from 1 species
CUGCCGGACCCGACUGCUAUUUGGGUGAGAUUAAGCCAUGCAAGUCGUAUGGGAUACCUAAAUUUCCCAUGGCGUACUGCUCAGUAACACAUGAUUAACUUAACCUAUGGAGAAGAAUAACCUCGGGAAACUGAGGAUAAUAUUUCAUAGUUGAGAAGGCUUGGAAAAGUUUUUCAAUCAAAAGGGUAAGAAAAAUGGUUCUUAUCCGCCAUAGGAUAGGAUCGUGGUCGAUUAUGGUUGUUGGCGAGGUAACGGCUCACCAAGCCGAUAAUCGAUAGGGGCCGUGAGAGCGGGAGCCCCGAGAUGGGUACUGAGACAACGACCCAGGCCUUACGAGGCGCAGCAGGCGCGAAACCUCCGCAAUACACGAAAGUGUGACGGGGUCACCCAAAGUGUCCUUUUAGGACUGUGAUAGGUGGGCAAUAUCCCCUAUCAGAAAGGAGAGGGCAAGGCUGGUGCCAGCCGCCGCGGUAAAACCAGCUCUUCAAGUGGUCGGGAUCAUUAUUGGGCUUAAAGUGUCCGUAGCCGGUUUAGUAAGUUCCUGGUAAAAUCGGGUAGCUUAACUAUUCGCAUGCUAGGAAUACUACUAUACUAGAGGGCGGGAGAGGUCUGAGGUACUACUAGGGUAGGGGUGAAAUCUUAUAAUCCUUUUAGGACCACCAGUGGCGAAGGCGUCAGACUGGAACGCGCCUGACGGUGAGGGACGAAAGCUAGGGGAGCGAACCGGAUUAGAUACCCGGGUAGUCCUAGCCGUAAACGAUGCAUACUAGGUGAUGGCACGGCCAUGAGCCGCGUCAGUGCCGUAGGGAAACCGUUAAGUUUGCCGCCUGGGAAGUACGGUCGCAAGGCUGAAACUUAAAAGGAAUUG